GUGGUAGCUCAGUGGUAGAGCAUCUGCUUUGCAUGCAGAAGGUCUUGGGUUCAAUUCCCAGCAUCCCCA